GAUGAAGAACGCAGCGAAAUGCGAUAAGUAAUGUGAAUUGCAGAAUUCAGUGAAUCAUCGAAUCUUUGAACGCACAUUGCGCCCCCUGGUAUUCCGGGGGGCAUGCCUGUCCGAGCGUCAUUACAACCCUCAAGCUCAGCUUGGUGUUGGGCCCCGCCGCCCCGGCGGGCCCUAAAGUCAGUGGCGGUGCCGUCCGGCUCCGAGCGUAGUAAUUCUUCUCGCUCUGGAGGUCCGGUCGUGUGCUCGCCAGCAACCCCCAAUUUUUUUCAGGUUGACCUCGGGUCAGGUAGGGAUACCCGCUGAACUUAAGCAUAUCAAUAAGCGGAGGA
rnacentral:misc_RNA from 1 species